rnacentral:rRNA from 1 species
UACGGGAGGCAGCAGUGGGGAAUAUUGCACAAUGGGCGCAAGCCUGAUGCAGCCAUGCCGCGUGUAUGAAAAGGCCUUCGGGUUGUAAAGUACUUUCAGUCGUGAGGAAGGUGUUAAGGUUAAUAACCUUAGCAAUUGACGUUAGCGACAGAAGAAGCACCGGCUAACUCCGUGCCAGCAGCCGCGGUAAUACGGAGGGUGCGAGCGUUAAUCGGAAUUACUGGGCGUAAAGGGCACGCAGGCGGUUAAUUAAGUUGGAUGUGAAAUCCCCGGGCUUAACCUGGGAAUGGCAUUCAAGACUGGUUAGCUAGAGUCUUGUAGAGGGGGUAGAAUUCCAUGUGUAGCGGUGAAAUGCGUAGAGAUGUGGAGGAAUACCGGUGGCGAAGGCGGCCCCCUGGACAAAGACUGACGCUCAUGUGCGAAAAGCGUGGGGAGCAAAACAGGGAUUAGAUACC